CAACGUUUAUUUAUUUUUGGGACAGAGAGAGAGACAGAGCAUGAAUGGGGGAGGGGCAGAGAGAGAGGGAGACACAGAAUCGGAAACAGGCUCCAGGCUCCGAGCCAUCAGCCCAGAGCCCGACGCGGGGCUCGAACUCACGGACCGCGAGAUCGUGACCUGGCUGAAGUCGGACGCUUAACCGACUGCGCCACGCAGGCGCCCCUCAACUACAUUUUUAAAAAUAAGUACAUUAACCUUCAUUCAUCUGCAGGGUGACCAACUAUGUGGCAAGUGACCUUGAUGAAAGGAGGUUACUUAUUAGAAAUCCCGCCCUUCAGGAGAUUCUUUGUCUUCCCAGGAGCUUGCCUGGCAUGCCAUUUGGUGAGACAAGAACCCUUGCCCUGCCUCUCAAUUUCUGAAACAAGCUCUGUCCAACACCGCUGUGGAUGCUCUGCCCUCAAGAGGAGGCAAAUGGCCUGUUGGAGAUAUCAAAUCAACAUCAGCAAGCAAAAAAAAAUCAGAAUUAUGCCUGGCAGAACUUGUACGUAUAAAAAAUUAUGGGAAUUUUAAACUUGACAUUCCAGAAAAGUUAUAUGGCUCACUAAGCCUCAUUUUUCUGUUCUAUAAAAGAGGUAAGGCAAUAGUAUUGAAUGCAUAAGGUUAUUUGAAGAUUAAAGAAGUUAACAUAUGAAUAUUGAAUACAAUACC
rnacentral:lncRNA from 1 species